rnacentral:rRNA from 1 species
GGAAUCUUGCGCAAUGGGCGAAAGCCUGACGCAGCAACGCCGCGUGCGGGAAGAAGGCUUUAGGGUUGUAAACCGCUUUCAGCAGGGAAGAAAAUGACGGUACCUGCAGAAGAAGGUGCGGCCAACUACGUGCCAGCAGCCGCGGUGACACGUAGGCACCAAGCGUUGUCCGGAUUUAUUGGGCGUAAAGAGCUCGUAGGCGGUUCAGUAAGUCGGGUGUGAAAACUCUGGGCUUAACCCAGAGCCGCCACCCGAUACUGCUGUGACUUGAGUCCGGUAGGGGAGCGGGGAAUUCCUGGUGUAGCGGUGAAAUGCGCAGAUAUCAGGAGGAACACCGGUGGCGAAGGCGCCGCUCUGGGCCGAGACUGACGCUGAGGAGCGAAAGCAUGGGUAGCAAACAGGAUUAGAUACCCUGGUAGUCCAUGCCGUAAACGUUGGGCACUAGGUGUGGGCAUCAACCAACGAUGUCCGCGCCGUCGCUAACGCAUUAAGUGCCCCGCCUGGGGAGUACGGUCGCAAGACUAAAACUCAAAGGAAUUGACGG